GCCUAGUUAGCUUAGUUGGUAGUGCGUCUGCCUUGUAAGCGCUAGGCCGUGGGUUCGAUUCCCGCCCGGGGC
rfam:Asian citrus Psyllid, Diaphorina citri - Florida Strain, whole genome shotgun sequence.